UUUAGCAUGAAAUAAUUCUUUAUUGUAGGAGUCAACUCUCCUUUCAAAUAUGUCACCAAAGGAUGCUGGCAGUUGAGAAAUUAUCAAUAUUGAAUCUGCCCAGCAGGUAAAGCUGCACCCUCUCAUUGAAAAACAUCCUUUAGUGCCAAUGAUGUUGUUACAGAGCUACGCCGGGUAACAGUUACAAACUAACACAGCUUGGGAAUACAAAAGAACCGCACUGCUUUGAAGAAAAAAAAAAAAAAAAUCAAAAUACAUACAAACAAAAGUUCCUUUUAAUUUAUCUUUCCAUCAGUACUCUUAUGGUAAUUUGAAACAGACAAUGUUCAGCUGAUCAGUUAAAUUGAAUAAUAAAGGCUAUUAUUCAGAGAUUCAUAGUGAACGAUAUGGCAGCUCAUUAAGACCUAAAUAUUCCAAAGUCUAUUGGAAUAUGCUUUCAAGUCUAUUCUCUUCAGCUUCAUAGCAUUUUGUUUCUCCUGUUUCUCAGUUAAUUUCUGUGUACCUAUCAUAGUCCUUGCCAGCUCUGAGACUAUGUUUCUUGAAAUCAAGUGGCAUCUGUAGGAUGUAAUUUAUGAAAAGAACAGACUGAAGCAUCCUGAAACACAACAGAAGGUUCAAGAAAAUGUAACAAAAUUAACAUUUCAAACUCAGAUUCAGAAAACAUAGGAUAAAAUCUAUUUCUAGGCAAGCUGUAGGAUGGAAACAUAAAAAGGUCUAAAAAAACCCCAAACAAAACAUAAGAAACUACUCUCUUCGAAAAGCAAUUGAGAGUGAAAAUAUUAAUGGCUUUCACAAAAACAAGUGUGCAUUUAUCAUCUCUGACAGCCUGCCUUUUGUUAUGUUCUUGGUAUUAGUUUCCUCUGAGCUUUCUACAUUGGACUUAGUCACGUCAAAAAAGCUUUUGGAACGUAUCUGGAGACAAAUACUGUUAAAGAGUUUGCAAUAGAAAGCAAUAUUUGUUCACAUCCCACCUUGUUGCUCCUAUCAUAAUAGGCAUCUCCUAUGUAACUCUCCCAAAAGUCAAAGUUGGGUUCAAGUUUCAGAAGGCUAAAAAAAAAAAUAAAAGAAA
rnacentral:lncRNA from 1 species